rnacentral:tRNA from 2 species
GGGAUAGUAGCUCAAUUGGCAGAGCACUGGCGGCCGCAUAACAAGUACAGCAUGUAAUGGUUCGAAUCCAUUCUAUUCCA